AAAAAAUAUAUUAACCAUGGAAACCGGUGUUUAUGUUCUGCUACACCUUUGCGCUUCCCAACAUAUGAACCUGUUGAAGAAGACAUGAUAAUGAAUCUGCUGGAGGUACAUGAAGCCUAUUAUUAUUCUACCCAAAUAAUAAAGAUAAUUAAAUUUA